rnacentral:rRNA from 1 species
GAUCCUGGCUCAGGACGAACGCUGGCGGCGUGCCUAAUACAUGCAAGUAGAACGCUGAAGGAGGAGCUUGCUUCUCUGGAUGAGUUGCGAACGGGUGAGUAACGCGUAGGUAACCUGCCUGGUAGCGGGGGAUAACUAUUGGAAACGAUAGCUAAUACCGCAUAACAGCAGUUGUUGCAUGACAACUGUUUAAAAGGUGCAAUUGCAUCACUACCNGAUGGACCUGCGUUGUA